UACAGAGGUGGCAAGCGUUGUUCGGAAUUACUGGGCGUAAAGGGCGCGUAGGCGGUCUUGCAAGUCCUGUGUGAAAUCCCUCGGCUCAACUGAGGAACUGCACAGGAAACUGCUUGGCUUGAGUUCGGGAGAGGGAAGCGGAAUUCCGGGUGUAGCGGUGAAAUGCGUAGAUAUCUGGAGGAACACCGGUGGCGAAGGCGGCGUUCUGGACUGCAUCUGACACUGAAAGACGAAAGCCAGGGGAGCAAACGGG
rnacentral:rRNA from 1 species